AAUUGAUAUGAAAAGUAUAUAGAAAUGUGAAUCGAAUUGCCAUGCAUGAAAUGAUAUGAAAAGUAUGAAUUGAGAUAUGAUGCAUAUGAAUGAAUGGUGCGGCGGACGCACAGGUGAGUAUCAGGUGAGUAUUUAAUUACUGUUAUGAUGAUGUUGAUAUAUAUUGAGCUCAAAUCCUGCACCAUGGUUUAGUGCUUAUAGUAUUCACCGCAUCGCACGCUCGCCUUGGAUCCAAGUAGAUGCUAGUCGUACAGUCCACGCGGAGUGGGUACGACAGGCCAGUCGCGAGAGUGUUAGUGAGAUUCCGACUGGUGGGUGACCUUAGAUUAUGUGCACAGAUGAUUUAUGAGAAGCACUAGAGCGUAACUUGUGUGCAGAAGGCCGGACGGGUCACAGAGGUGACUCCGGUAGAGUGAUAGUGAUAGAUUUUGAGCUCUAGGUUCAACCGUACAGGGCUAUUAGAGGGCCUACGGUUGAUUACUUUCUUGCACCUGAUAUGAUUAUUGUUGAUGCAUCCAUACUUAACUAUUGAAUUAGACAUGGCAUGGCAUGAUUGAUAAAGAAAAAUGUUGAGAUAGUAAAAAUGAAGUUUUGAGAAUAUAUAUGUAUAUUUAUAUUUUACAUUUCUGGGAAAGUAUACAGGUUUUACGGAGAGGGGUUACAACGUUUUGAGAAAUGUUUGGAUUUUGAAAAGAAUUGUUUUACUGACCCACUCAAUUUUGGUUUUGCGCCCCUCCAGGUUCAAGAAUCACAAAGGUGUGGUGACUACGAGGAAUUCGACGGUGUUCUGACAGAUUGGACAAAAUUAGGACUCACCUUCGGGUGUAUCAACUUAUAAAUUGUAUCUUAAAGCUUCCGUACUGUGUAAAUGGUUACGUCACUCUCACGUGACGGCCAGCAUGCCCUCCUUCGGGACGGGGUGUGUCAGUCGACCUUAGAUUAUGUGCACAGAUGAUUUAUGAGAAGCACUAGAGCGUAACUUGUGUGCAGAAGGCCGGACGGGUCACAGAGGUGACUCCGGUAGAGUGAUAGUGAUAGAUUUUGAGCUCUAGGUUCAACCGUACAGGGCUAUUAGAGGGCCUACGGUUGAUUACUUUCUUGCACCUGAUAUGAUUAUUGUUGAUGCAUCCAUACUUAACUAUUGAAUUAGACAUGGCAUGGCAUGAUUGAUAAAGAAAAAUGUUGAGAUAGUAAAAAUGAAGUUUUGAGAAUAUAUAUGUAUAUUUAUAUUUUACAUUUCUGGGAAAGUAUACAGGUUUUACGGAGAGGGGUUACAACGUUUUGAGAAAUGUUUGGAUUUUGAAAAGAAUUGUUUUACUGACCCACUCAAUUUUGGUUUUGCGCCCCUCCAGGUUCAAGAAUCACAAAGGUGUGGUGACUACGAGGAAUUCGACGGUGUUCUGACAGAUUGGACAAAAUUAGGACUCACCUUCGGGUGUAUCAACUUAUAAAUUGUAUCUUAAAGCUUCCGUACUGUGCAAAUGGUUACGUCACUCUCACGUGACGGCCAGCAUGCCCUCCUUCGGGACGGGGUGUGUCACUAA
rnacentral:lncRNA from 1 species